CCUCCUUGGCUGCUUUUUGUGCCGAACUCGUGGAUGUCCGUCCACCGUCAGGGCUGACGCGAGUUUUCAAAGGUGCGCGUGAGAGUCGUGGGGUGGGUUUCCCCCGAAAGGGGCUUGUGAGAUUGAGCGAAAGGAGGCAGUGGCAGGCAGUUUUGUAAAGGAGAACUUUUAUUUUGUCGGAAUAAAUAAAAGAAUAAAUAGGUGAAUAAAUAGGCGUUUGUAUAAAUA